AUUGAACGCUGGCGGCAUGCUUUACACAUGCAAGUCGAACGGUAACAGGGUGCUUGCACCGCUGACGAGUGGCGAACGGGUGAGUAAUGCGUCGGAACGUGCCGAGUAGUGGGGGAUAACGCAGCGAAAGUUGUGCUAAUACCGCAUACGUACUGAGGUAGAAAGUGGGGGAUCUUCGGGCCUCACGCUAUUCGAGCGGCCGACGUCUGAUUAGCUAGUAGGUGAGGUAAAGGCUCACCUAGGCGACGAUCAGUAGCGGGUCUGAGAGGAUGAUCCGCCACACUGGGACUGAGACACGGCCCAGACUCCUACGGGAGGCAGCAGUGGGGGAUUUUGGACAAUGGGCGAAAGCCUGAUCCAGCCAUGCCGCGUGUCUGAAGAAGGCCUUCGGGUUGUAAAGGACUUUUGUCAGGGAGGAAAUCCCUAGUGCUAAUAACACUGGGGGAUGACAGUACCUGAAGAAUAAGCACCGGCUAACUACGUGCCAGCCGCCGCAGUAA
rnacentral:rRNA from 1 species